GACAGAGGGUGCAAACGUUGUUCGGAGUUACUGGGCGUAAAGCGUGUGUAGGCGGCCAGACAAGUCGGAUGUGAAAGCCCUGGGCUCAACCCAGGAAGUGCACUCGAUACUGUCUGGCUUGAGUAUCGGAGAGGUUGGUGGAAUUCUCGGUGUAGAGGUGAAAUUCGUAGAUAUCGAGAGGAACACCGGUGGCGAAGGCGGCCAACUGGACGAAUACUGACGCUGAGACACGAAAGCGUGGGGAGCAAACAGG
rnacentral:rRNA from 1 species